AUGGGGCAGGAGGACUCAACAUACAACAUACAAGGCCACAGGGACAAUCUAACUGGGAAGAGAAGAUCUGGUGAGCCCACUGCAAGUGAGAUUUCCAAGGGGCCUAAUGUGUGCUGGACAGAGGAGCUCCUUACACCUUGUCUGCUUCUCACCGUAAUGGUGAUGCAGUGUGUCACCCCACUCUAGGACCAGCGCUGCCAUGGCUCCCACACCAAUCCUGAGGCUGCAGCAGAAAAAUGGUGGCUCUGGCUUUGGAAUGAAUUUCCCCUAAAUCAGUGUUUCUCAGACAUUCCCAUCAAAGGUGCCACCACCUUGGAUGAACCCAAUGGAGUUCGCCGCAAGCAUGAAUUUCUGUGAGCAUUUUUAUGUUUUUUAUUUAUUUUUAAAAUUGUUAUGUUUUAUUUGAACACUGUAUGAGUUUGCAUUUAUAUUCAUGUCUAACAUCAAAUAAUACUUUAAAUUAUCAUCAGGUAAAAAACAUAUAAUUAUUUUUGUUGUUGUUUUUUAAAGACUUAUUUCUUCAUUUUGGGGGGGAAGGGCAAAGGAAGAAGAAGAAUCUCAAACAGACUCCCCGCUGAGUGCAGAGCCUGACACAGGGCUGGAUCUCGUAACCCUAGGAUCAUGACCUAAGCUGAAACCAAGAGUGGGAUGCUUAACUAAUGGAGCCACCCAGAAGCCCCAGAAGAUGUCUUUUUUUCCUAACCAAAUCAUUGAAUAAAAUGGAUUUUCCCAGAAAAUAUGCUCUGCAUUACGUGGAGGCUUUGUACAAGUCCACGUUCCACGGGGAGAGGUGAUGUGAGCAGCAAGAUCCCUCCAAGCAGCUGUUAGCUACAGAGGUCCACAGAGCUGGGGGAUUUCAUGUUGCUAGGACUUGGCCAUUGUGUCCACUAACCGACCGGAACUCUUCCCAGAUGGAGACGGCUCAUUUC
rnacentral:lncRNA from 1 species